CCUACGGGAGGCAGCAGUGAGGAAUAUUGGUCAAUGGGCGGAAGCCUGAACCAGCCAAGUCGCGUGAGGGAAUAAGGCCCUACGGGUCGUAAACCUCUUUUGCCGGGGAGCAAGGGCGUGGACGUGUCCCGGCCCGGAGAGUACCCGGAGAAAAAGCAUCGGCUAACUCCGUGCCAGCAGCCGCGGUAAUAAGGAGGCUCAGAGCGUUAUCCGGAUUUUUUGGGUUUAAAGGGCGCGGAGUGGGGUUGUUAAGUCAGUUGUGAAAGUUUGCGGCGCAACCGGAAAAUUGCAAUUGAUAAUGGCAGUCUUGAGUACAGUUGAGGUAGGCGGAAUUCGUGGUGGAGCGGUGAAAUGCUUAGAUAUCACGAAGAACUCCGAUUGCGAAGGCAGCUUACUAAACUGCCACUGACAUUGAUGCUCGAAAGUGUGGGUAUCAAACAGGAGUAGAUACCCGGGUAGUC
rnacentral:rRNA from 1 species